rnacentral:rRNA from 1 species
GACGAACGCUGGCGGCGUGCUUAACACAUGCAAGUCGAACGGAAAGGCCCUGCUUUUGUGGGGUGCUCGAGUGGCGAACGGGUGAGUAACACGUGAGUAACCUGCCCUUGACUUUGGGAUAACUUCAGGAAACUGGGGCUAAUACCGGAUAGGAGCUCCUGCUGCAUGGUGGGGGUUGGAAAGUUUCGGCGGUUGGGGAUGGUCUCGCGGCUUAUCAGCUUGUUGGUGGGGUAGUGGCUUACCAAGGCUUUGACGGGUAGCCGGCCUGAGAGGGUGACCGGCCACAUUGGGACUGAGAUACGGCCCAGACUCCUACGGGAGGCAGCAGUGGGGAAUAUUGCACAAUGGGCGGAAGCCUGAUGCAGCAACGCCGCGUGCGGGAUGACGGCCGUCGGGUUGUAAACCGCUUUCGCCUGUGACGAAGCGUGAGUGACGGUAAUGGGUAAAGAAGCACCGGCUAACUACGUG